ensembl:lncRNA
AGUUAGUUUGAUGUUAGGGUUAAUGAAUGUUGUCCUUGCUGUACCCCAUAGUUAGUGUAGGAAGGUCUGUAGCAAUCUCCCAUGGCACUUCCUUUGACUAGCGUAGGAAGGUCUGUAGCAACCUCACUUCCUUUGACCAGCGUAGGAAGGUCUGUAGCAACCUCACUUCCUUUGACCAGCAUAGGAAGGUCUGUAGCAACCUCACUUCCUUUGACCAGCGUAGGAAGGUCUGUAGCAACCUCACUUCCUUUGACCAGCGUAGGAAGGUCUGUAGCAACCUCACUUCCUUUGACCAGCGUAGGAAGGUCUUUAGCAUUCUCACUUCCUUUGACCAGCGUAGGAAGUUCUGUAGCAAACUCACUUCCUUUGACCAGCGUAGGAAGGUCUGUAGCAAUCUCACUUCCUUUGACUAGCGUAGGAAGGUCUGUAGCAACCUCACUUCCU